AAUAGAUACCCAGGUAGUCCACGCCGUAAACGAUGAUAACUAGCUGUCCGGGCACUUGGUGCUUGGGUGGCGCAGCUAACGCAUUAAGUUAUCCGCCUGGGGAGUACGGUCGCAAGAUUAAAACUCAAAGGAAUUGACGGGGGCCUGCACAAGCGGUGGAGCAUGUGGUUUAAUUCGAAGCAACGCGCAGAACCUUACCAGCCUUUGACAUCCCGCGCUAACCUGAGAGAUCAGGGGUUCCCUUCGGGGGACGCGGUGACAGGUGCUGCAUGGCUAUCGUCAGCUCGUGUCGUGAGAUGUUGGGUUAAGUCCCGCAACGAGCGCAACCCUCGUCCUUAGUUGCCAUCAUUCAGUUGGGCACUCUAAGGAAACCGCCGGUGAUAAGCCGGAGGAAGGUGGGGAUGACGUCAAGUCCUCAUGGCCCUUACAGGCUGGGCUACACACGUGCUACAAUGGCGGUGACAGUGGGCAGCGAAGCACGCGAGUGUGAGCUAAUCUCCAAAAGCCGUCUCAGUUCGGAUUGUU
rnacentral:rRNA from 1 species